AGUCCAGACGAAUGGGAUAACGCUUUAAUACACGAGUCUACGCAGCCCUCCUUUUUUAUCGCUUGGAGUUAGAGUUAAACUUGGAAAAGAAGUAUAAAAAAAAUGUUUAUUAUUUAUACCAAUUUAUUUUUGUUCUAGCAGACCCUAGCUAUUUUUCCCCCUUUCAAGUUUUCAACACACAAUCGCUAAAGACACAAAUCUAUUAGGAAGAGAAGCACACAACGAAAGUGAUUCAUUUUUGUACGAUCAUCGGGGAAGGUUCUGUAAUCUUGAAUUUUCCAUUAGAAUAACAAUCAUGAGACUUGUUAAGGGGAGUAAAGUGGAGGUACUAAGAAAGAAAGAGGCGACUCCUGCUGAAUGGGCUUGUGCUAAGAUUAUCUCAGGCAAUGGGCACACUUAUGGUGUUGUAUUUGAAGGUUCUUGUGGCAUGAGAAGUGAGGCACUUGUGGAGAGAGUGCCAAGGAAGGCCAUUAGACCCUGCCCUCCUUCUGUGGGAAGUGUGGAGAGUUGGGAAUUUGGAGAUAUAGUGGAAGUUUUUGAUGUUGGUUCUUGGAAAAUAGCCAUGGUUGUGAAGCCCUUUGGCAGAGAUUAUUAUUUGGCUAGGCUACUGGGAUCUUGUGAGGAGUUCAGAGUUCACAAAUCCAACGUUCGUGUGCGUCAGUCUUGGCAAAAUAAUGAAUGGAUUGUGAUCGGAAAGGAUUUGGGGAGUUGUGAGGUUGUGAAAUCCAAUAAACCAUCUAGCUCGUAUUGUCAUCAGAUUACUUCUGGAGUUCCACAAUUCAAUUCAAGAAGAAAGAUGCAGGCAGGAUAUAAAUGUUUAGCUGCUCAAGACAAUACAUGUGUUCAUACUGUCUCAUCUAGGACAUUGAAGAGAUCGCUCCCUUAUUGCUCUUCUCAUAUUGAACCAUAUACCAGAAAAACGAGAGGGAUCCAGAAAGAGGGUGGAUCCCUCUUGCUGAAAAAGGGCCAAAGUUGGAGGCUUGCAUGCCUUGCUUCCAAAGGUCUAAAGAUGAUGCUGGGUUUUGCUGCCUUUCUCUGGGCUUAAACAAUUGUGCAAGCACUUCAUCCAGAUGUAUAUGUAUGUGUCCGCGUGUGUCUAUUUAUAGCAAUAUGUCAUUCCUGCUAGUGAUCCCCAAUUCCAGGAUUGGAAGAAGUUCUAUAUUAGGACUUCGAGAUCAAAUAUAGUAUUUUAUUUCCAUCCCUGAGCCACUUAGUCUCCUUUUACAAAAUAAGUCCUCGGCUUUACAUCAUUGAUAAGAGGAGGGAAGAGAGGAGAGGAGGGGGGGGGGGGGGGGGGUGUUUGGAAAUGCUUGCUUUCGUGUUCAUUGCAUUGUACAAGUAAAUAACCUAUGAAAAAAAAAACAUGUCCAAGUAAAUAGGCAGCAACUACCUAGAUGUUGGGGCAAGGCAAGUCCCAAGAAGGUAUAGGUUGGCUUCCAGCUCCAUCUCGGUUGGCAUCUUUCUCUUGAGGGGGUGGAGAGUCCUAGGGCAAACUACUCACUUUGCUGUGUUGCCCAAACCCACGGAAGGGCAUUUGCUGAGGAGUAUAGGUUUUGAGGGAGGGAAAGCACGGCUGACAAGCCAUCAGUGGCAUGGUUGAUUUCUGAUGUGCUAGGAGCCAUGGACCCAUAUGGUGCCAACUUUUGAAACUUUUGGGAGAACAAUCUUGAUAUGAUCUCUGGGCAACUCAUCCUUGAUAAAGCCUGUCAAUACCGCACAUGUAGCGGAAGGGUUGCUGGGACUCUAUCCGUGUCAAUACCGCACUUGAUAAAGCCUGUCAAUACCUCUGUCUUGAGAUUUAACAACAAAUUUGCUACCGGGAAGGAACAGUUGGUUGAUUAUGAUGGCCACUACGAUCGUUUCGAACUUUCAAGUCCAACCAUGAAGUUCCUCGGGGUUUGCCGAUGCUUAUGAUGAGUAUUUUAGCUAGCCAAUGGGGGGUGAAUUUCAUGAAAUCCGAGGAUGGACUGCCUAGGCACAGGUGAGGUUUGGAUAGAAGUUAAAUGAAAUGAGAUAAAAAUUGAAUAAAAUAUUAUUUUUAUUUUGAAAUUUAAAAAAAUUGAAUAGUUUAUUAUAUUUUGUGUAAAAUUUGUGUAAAAGCUUAAAAAAAAUAUAAUGAUUA